rnacentral:lncRNA from 1 species
ACAGAUGAGACUGGGUGACCUUUCCUGCAGUAAUCUACUCUUCUAUUCAUCUGGAAAAAGGGAGUGGAUUUUUUCAAGAUGUUCUCCUCUAACAGUAAAAGCAGAUUGA